GGAGAUGGCCGAGUAGUUUAAAGCGGCAGACUGAAAAUCUGUUAAUCUAUUAGGGUUCAGGGGUUCGAAUCCCCUUCUCACCGCAA
rnacentral:tRNA from 1 species